UACGGAGGGUGCAAGCGUUAAUCGGAAUUACUGGGCGUAAAGCGCACGUAGGUGGUUUGUUAAGCUAGCUGUGAAAUCCCCGGGCUCAACCUGGGCACUGCAGUUAGAACUGGCAAGCUAGAGUAGGGUAGAGGGGUGUGGAAUUCCAGGUGUAGCGGUGAAAUGCGUAGAUAUCUGGAGGAAUACCGGUGGCGAAGGCGGCAUCCUGGAUCGGCAUUGACGCUGAGGAGCGAAAGCUAGGGGAGCAAACGGG
rnacentral:rRNA from 1 species